AGAAAAAACGUACUUCUUUAGUGGAGAAGAAUUGCACAGUGAUGUACAAGCAUUCUGUGUGGCCCUCUCCCCAAGAAUGCCAAUGGAUUAUGCAUCAGAAGAAAUCAAGUUUUCUUAGAAGUUACAGUAUCUUACACAUUUACACAGAAACACAUCACACAUGAAAAUGUGUGUGAACAGUUUAUACACCUUUCAAAGUACAAAACGUUUUUGACACACAACUAUUCUAUGCAGCACAUUUUGUUCAGAACAUGAUGAUGUCUUGGAAGCUGUAGUACUAACAGCCACUUAGUAUGUGCGCACUUAAAGAAGGUUACCUGUCAUGCUGAAAAAAGUGUGUAGCAUUUUUGAGCACAACUUUGAGCAAAACAUAAUACUGACUGUUCAUUGCUCAUUUAAAUAAGACCAACAAGAAAGCACAUAAUUACCCACAACAGCAAAUAGUGACCAGCCCAGCUUCCAUCAUAGCAAAAUGCACAAGAAUAACCGUUAAACACUUUAGAAACUUCUGAAUGUUGGUAAAUGUUUAUAUCGCCACACACCAUACAACAUUCAAUGUAAGCGCUUCAAUGCAGAGCAAAAACGAUCUCAAACACGCCAUAACAUCAACGAUAACAUCUCGCCGACUGUGCACUCCAUGUUUUUUUUGUAUUUUUUUCUGUGUCAACAGUAGCCUUCGGUAACACCAGUAAAGUGAAGUGCAUGAUACAGCAGGAACAAAAGAAUGUUCGGCUGCCAAAAAGGAGAAAUUCAUUGAGCAAGUCUAAGCUGCGCAUUGUCCAAGGAUAACAACCUUUGCUAGCAAUACCGCACACCCCACUGCAACAAGAAUGUUCAACGAAAAAAUUCUCAGUGCCAUGAGUGUUGUGCAAUUUUUACGAACACUUUAGCCGUCCCUACAUCUUGUAAGUAAUUUGCCUUGAGUUGUUCUAACAAAACAUGAAUAGAGGUAUAAACAAUUAAAAUCUAAAGAUUGUUUGUUUGGAAUGUCUAACACAGCAUAACAACCACUUCCUCUCUGUGACCACGUAACACCAAGCUAAAGCAUCUUGAGUCUCACGAUCACGUAUCAGUAGGCCGCCGGAAACAGCAAUGCUUCAAAAUCAGCAGCACUGACUGUAAUACUGUAUGCUUCAAAUACCUUCCGGAAUAUUUAUAGAAGGUCGUUAACAACGGUGAGAAUAUGACGUAGCCAGGCACUCUCAAUACUUGGGAGUGGCAAGAGCUUCACAAAACAUAACGUGACGCACAAAUCACACACAAAAACACGAAAACUAGUGUAACAUGUUCUUCCACAGCAUAACCGUUGCAAACAGAAGGACGGUGGGAAGGGAAGGAGAAAACAUUCCAAUUUACUCAUCAUAACACAUAUCUCUUACACGGGCAAUAUAGCAGAACAAAUGCUCACUAUACUAUGACUCGUAGGCAAGACUUCGUGACCAAAGUGCCAGUCUGGAAAUUCGCUACUACAACGCACAUCGCAUGACAGGAGAAUGUUAUGUAUGUACAAGAGCAGUAUGCUGACUAUUCAGAUAAUAAAAAAGUAUUUUUGCUAAAGAG